rnacentral:tRNA from 1 species
GGAAGGGUGGCAGAGUGGUCGAAUGCACCGGUCUUGAAAACCGGCGGGGGCGGAAAGCCCCCCGUGGGUUCGAAUCCCACCCCUUCCGCCA